CCAAUAGGAAUAGCGCCAGAUCUGUACAACAGAUGACGAGGAGAGAGUUUAUCGAAGUUUUCGGCGGGUAACUCUAGGGACUGCACUCUAUAAGCAAGAACAAAACCUCAUCGUGAGAUGAAAACAAACCUCUUGCUGCGCAGGUAG
rfam:Enterococcus sp. HSIEG1 chromosome, whole genome shotgun sequence.